rnacentral:rRNA from 1 species
ACGCUGGCGGCAUGCCUUACACAUGCAAGUCGAACGGCAGCGCGGACUUCGGUCUGGCGGCGAGUGGCGAACGGGUGAGUAAUACAUCGGAACGUACCCUGUUGUGGGGGAUAACUAGUCGAAAGAUUAGCUAAUACCGCAUACGACCUGAGGGUGAAAGUGGGGGACCGCAAGGCCUCACGCAGCAGGAGCGGCCGAUGUCUGAUUAGCUAGUUGGUGGGGUAAAGGCCCACCAAGGCGACGAUCAGUAGCUGGUCUGAGAGGACGAUCAGCCACACUGGGACUGAGACACGGCCCAGACUCCUACGGGAGGCAGCAGUGGGGAAUUUUGGACAAUGGGGGCAACCCUGAUCCAGCAAUGCCGCGUGUGUGAAGAAGGCCUUCGGGUUGUAAAGCACUUUUGUCCGGAAAGAAAUCGCGCUGGUUAAUACCUGGCGUGGAUGACGGUACCGGAAGAAUAAGCACCGGCUAACUACGUGCCAGCAGCCGCGGUAAUACGUAGGGUGCGAGCGUUAAUCGGAAUUACUGGGCGUAAAGCGUGCGCAGGCGGUUUUGUAAGACAGGCGUGAAAUCCCCGGGCUUAACCUGGGAAUUGCGCUUGUG